AAGUGGUAUUUAGUAACUAUCAGGAGCUGAAAUGGCGUAGCUCGUCUCUGUCACUGAGGGACAGCGGGCCCGGGUAAAGCUGGGAAAACCCUGACCAUGAACCGCGCAGAAAUGGACUUUAAUUCAUGUCCUUCAUCAACCCUCUGAGAAACUAGUCAAGAAGACGCGCGACAGCAUCCUGUUGCCUGCUGAGAUCAUGCAUGAGUACAAGACUCUGGAGAAAGAGAUAGCAGAUGACAAGUGGGUCAGCGGCAUGCUGAAGCCUGUCCUGCGACCGCGUCCUUCAGAUCUGCUCAGCAUCACGCCCGGGUAGCGGUUCAUGCUCCAUCCAUCCAUCCAUCCAGGAUGACGUCAUGGGUGGAGUCCAGCCUGCUUUUAUUUCCUCUUUCUUCAUCUGAGUUUUGAGUUUUUUCCCCCCUUUGUUUACUUCAUUCCUUUUUUUUUCGUAUCCUGUCAGCUAUAAAUUUAAAUACACCAUGACGGUCCUCGCUGAUGAGGUUUUCGAAUCAGAUCCUUUAGUUUCUACCACUUCUAAAGCUAGCUUUACCUAGAUAAAAGGUGUUCACACUUAUACAGUAUCGUAAAAUAAUAAUAGAUGGUCAAAGCUCCUCAGAGUGACCUACAGUAUGUCCGGGAAAUGUGUUAAUGAGGGUUACGUUAAAGGAAGGAUGAAGGCGUGUUGAAUAGUUCAUGCAGCGGCUCAUUGCGGCGUUGAAAUCCUGCCAUGUCAGUGUUCACUUGUUGGCUGUGUUUACCUGCAAAGAUUUUCUCCAAUCCGAAAGAAAUUUGUUUCCAAUUCUUCUGUUUACAUCAAGUGGAGCGUGUUGGCAGUCUUCAUCUCUUUUAAUCCUGCUGCCCGAGCUUUAAAUGAUCCGGUCUCGCAACAUAAUCUAAACGGGUGGUGAGGAGAAGAAGAGUUCACGAGCUCAGUGAAUGUCACUCGGCUCUUCAUAUUUGCCUGAGAUUUCGCUAGCUUGAGUUGAAAAUGCACAAAAGAUACGUCAGUGUAGCGUCAUCUUCUAAUGUAAACAUUUACGAGUGAUAACUCAGAAGAAAUGUAGGUUUUAUCAUACUUUUUGCCCUUAAAUUUGGAUAAUUGAGCUCUUAGUCAGAUUAUGGAAAUUCAUUUAUAGCAUAUGAUGGAAAGGUUCAGUCCCACAGGUUUAUUUACAUUUAUUACAUUUACUUUUCCCCCCAAGGAGGUUGAGAGGUGUGUGUGUGUGUGUGUUCCUUAACAUGUUUGACCUGUAGUGAUGAUGGGAUGAAUCAAACGAAGGUUUCCUAAAAGCAUUGUUAAAUGGUAGAGCGAGCAUCACAUUAAACUCUCUCUCUCUUGGCCAGUCAUGAACAAACAUUACAGUGCUUUUAGGAAACUAAAUUGGUGUAGUUUGAGCGUAAAUGGCGUCUACGGACGGGGGAUACGUGCAAUACGUCCGUUUUUUCCGUGUCCUUUUUCAAGAUAAACGUGUAUAUUGUACAAACAAGUGACGAGUUGAUCGUGCGACAAACAACAAAAUCACCAAUGUCUUCCAUUAAGUGAUGUAUAGUUUCAUCCGCUUGUUUCGGUAGCGGGAUCUGUCGUGCCGAUGUUCUAUGUGGCCAUGCAUGAGCGGACUUGAUGCUUGCAGAGUAGAUGUAGUGAAAAUCCAAUAUAUUAACUUUAACGCAUAUUAGCUAAUAGUGGAGCAGGUGGCGGUUAGGCUCGUUAGCGCCGUGUAGCUUUGAGAAUAGUGAGCUUUGGAGAAAAUCUUUUUGUGUGUGUGUUGUCUUCUGAUCUUUAGAUAGUCAUCUAAUCUGAUCAUUUUCUUCAGAUCACUUUCCUGAAACAAAAAACGAACAAAAAUGUUAUCUAUUUGUGUUGAAAAAAAUAUAUAAACCCCCCAAUAACCUUAUAUUUUUGAUCUAUUAUUAAUCUUUGGGUUUAUAUUCAAGAUAAAAUCUGUGCCUCCAGACCACAAAUCUCACAGUUUCUGUGACUGAUAUAAUCUUGUUCUCAACGUUGCUAGCUAGCAUAGAACAACCCGACUAGCUAACUAGGUUGCAUCGGCGCUCGUCAGCGCUGUAAGUUAGGACAAAAUACGUGAAAAAAGAAAAGUUUUUAGUUUCGAGUGACACUAAGGUAGCGUCAUCACUCUGACGCAGUUACAGAUGCAUCAGAGAGUUAGCUUGGCUAGCUUUAACGUAGCAGACAUCCUAGAUUUCAGUUGACGCAUAGCUAGCCAAUCAGAAUAUGGUGAUGUAGAUAGUUAAAUACCUCAAUCGCUGGAAUGCAAAAGUCUAUUUUUUCGAUUCCAUUGACAAAUAUGCAAGCCAUACUGCGCAUUAUGUUAGGUAUUUUUCACGAGGGUCGAUCCGUGCCAAAAAAAGCCAAAAUUCGCAUUCUGUUGUCAUCUUCAUUUCAAGCCUACGUCUAAGCGCUUGCUACACAGCUUCACUCCAUGUGUAACAGAUCUAGACAAAGAUCUGGACAGUAACUAUCUGUUGAGGGCGCACACGAGAUGUUUUCUGUCAAUUAAUGAGCUAACUAGUUAGCUGAAUAUGUUAGCAUAGAUCUCGUUUAGCUAACACAUUUUACCUUCCAUUACAACCUCGGACUGGGCAGCACACUGGAGUAAUUACUUCAUUUUUUGGCACGGAUAGACUCUCAUCAUUUAGAAGCAAUAAUUCUAUUAUGCAUGAAAACUCUAGUGCCAGAAUUUGUGGAAUGAUCUGUAGCAUAUUUCUAGCCGUAGUGUGUGUGUGUUAUUCAUGUUUACUCCUAAAGCGUACUGGAUUUCCAGUGUGUUCGUUAAAGAAAAGAAAGAAGAAGGAAAAAAACACCAAAAAACGCUGUACGGGAACGUGAGCACUGAAACCCCGGUAGAGGGAAAAGAAAACCUUCUAUUCUUUAUGCACAAUGCAUGAUUUCUAUUACUACAUGAGCAGAAAACACUAAACAGAGAUGACACUGGAGUCGGAAAACAACAGGUGACGCUUUCUUUCAUACACUGACACAUCACUUGGUCAGCGAGCCUGUACGUGUUUCUCUGUGGGAAUGUUGGGGGGGGGGGGAGUAAAUUAGCUACUGCAUGGUAGAAGUGGGUACCACGUGUCGUGCUGCAUGCAAUAAUUAAGCUUUGUUCAGAGAAAAUAUAAUGCAAGAAUGUGAAGACAAGCGAGUGGGCUGAUUGAUGUGUUUUCCCCUCAGUUUAGUUUAAAAAAACCCUGUUAUAUAUCUGGACACACAAUCUCACUCACUUUGAUAUAACCUGAUCUGUAUGGAACUUUACUUAUUUUCAUUUUUAAAAUAGUCAGGACCUUGUACAACCCUUGACAUGAUGACGAUGCGAGUAACAUUGAAGAUGAUCGGAAUAGUCAUGUCAAUGGAAAGAAACGGUUUCUGGGCCAAGCUCAAUGCUGAUUGGUUGCCCAGUAUUUUCUAACAACCAAUCAGCACGCAGUUUUAAACGGAUCCCAGGAGGAGUGCGACACUGAACCCGGGAUCUUAAAAAAAAAAAAAAAAAAAAACCAGUUCAAA